rnacentral:lncRNA from 1 species
GAACUUGUCUCCAGCACUGCGGACACCCGGGUGACACAUUCUUUCGGAGAGGGAGGGCAAGACUUUUCUCCGGAGCCUCUGGCAACUCGUGGAGUCUAUAUAAGAUCUUCAAAGAAAGAGAUAUCCUUUCGAGGCAACACAAGAAGCCAACUACAAAUGAGAAUAUUAUUCUCUUGGUGCAGGGAUUGUUGCAUGUGGACCCCAUCAGCCUUGAAAAGUCCAUGCAAUGGAGUGAAACUUGACAAAGCAGUUGCAGUCGUUCACCAGUGAAGCAAAGUCUUCUUCCUAGUCACGCAGGAAUUUUUUUGGGGGAGAUAACUUGAUGCCUGGAGCUGCUGCUGCAUCUUAUGUAAAUGACAACUAAGGAUAAAAACCACACACAUUACCCAAGGUGCAGUAAAAGAAGAUAUUUUGGGAGGAAGAGAGAAAGCAAGAGAGAGAAACCACAUUUUCAUAACUUUUGUUACAGUAUAUUGUUAUAAUUGGUCUAUUUUUAUUAUUAUUGUUGUUCAUAUUUUACUUUAAUUUAUAAAUUAAACUUCAUUAUAGGUAUGUACAGGAAAAAAUAUGGUAUUAUAUAUGAUUUGGUACUAUCCUUGGUUUCAGGCAUCCACUGAGGGUCUUGGAACAUAUCACCUUGGAUAGGGGAGACUACUGACUUCCUUACUGCUCUAUGUGACAAAUGAAGUUUGGUCUUAUUUGCAGCCAGGAAAAUUUUAUUAUCAAGACUUUAAUAUUAAUACAGAAAUAGGAACUUCCAGGGAUAGACAAAAAUGAAGAGAGCAUCUGUUCCAGCUUCUUUAUUUUAAAGAUUUGAGGCUCAGAGAGGAGAUAUACUUCUUCAAAAUCAACAGCCUAUUAGUUCACAACUGCGAUUACAAUUUCGUCUCCUGGCUCUGGGUUUAAUAAUAUUCCCCCACAUCAUAAAACCUUGGAACUAUCGAAAUGAUAGCUUUGAGGGGAAAAAUAGGCAAAGAAGUAAUAUGUUAAACUUUCCCUGGGAUGCAGGCUUUAAUCAGGUUUCAAAUUCUUCCAACAUAAUAUAAUUUAAUGGUGAGAGCUCUUGACAUUAAGAGGUGAAAUUUAUAUUUAAAAGGCUAAGAUCGUGACAUAUUAAAGCACUUCAAAAAUGUUGGCAACAAAUACCAAGAGUAACUGAUGGUUGUUAUUAUACAAGAACAAAGAAGUUCAUCCUCUGGAAUUAAAGGUGUGUUAGUGUCAUUGUUGCUCAUGGGGAGGAGUAGGCACCUGACUUUCUUUUUUUCCUUACGACAGCUUUAUCCAAAUAAAGCACGGUGUGUUUCAUCACCCAUAAUGGAAAGUGCCUGUCACUCCUUGAACAACAUCAUAUGGUUGGUGGCCGGUGGAUAAUGGACCACUGAGUGUCAAGGUGACUGGCUUUCAAUGCACACAAAACUAAAAAUUAUAGACCUGUCAUUCCACAGGCAGGCCACAAUUAGCUGUCUAUGCAACUUGAAAUUUCCAUUUUGCCAGCUGAGUAAUCAUUUGACUAGAGUUUUUCAUUUGGAAGCAUUUCUAAGCCUUUUGUGUGCAAGUCUUUUAAAAUGUGGAUCCUGAAGUAAAUAAACAGUGCACUUAAUCAGAUGUAUUCUUUUUAGAAACACCCCUUCGGAAACACACAGGCAAACCCCAACAUUGUUGUAAUAGUAACAACAAUAAUGUGACAAAACAAUAUAAGCCUUGGGUAUUUUAUUUAGGGAUCUUAAAAGUUCACAGCGAAAGGUAAGAAUCAUUUCUUAAUACCUCAGAGUGCAGAAUUUAGAAAAAGAAACUGAGAUUUUAGCAGUCAGUAACUAGAUAAGGUCACCAAAGGAGAAGUAAACUCAGAGCUAGGGGUCAAAACUUGGGAAUUUCAGUGUCAGAAACAUUCACUGAUUCAAAACUAUCCAUUUACCAGUUUUCUAUUUACAUUUGGUUUCCAACUCCAUAUCUGAGUUCUGUCAUUUCUCUGAUUCUUUGAGGGAUAGAGAAAAUGAUACCAAGUGGAGUCUGUUGGAAAAUUGUGUUGUAAUUUCCAUUCAGUUGCUGUACGUGAAGUAAACUUCAGGAUUCUACAAUCCCAGAUCAGAUUCUAGACUGUCUAAUUGAACCUGAAUCUUCUUUUACCCUCUUCCUGCCCUGUCCCUGGUCCACAUUACUCUCUCUCCUUCUCCCUCGGAUGAUUUAUAUCUACACUUAAAUUGCCGAGCCACAAGGAUACAAGUGAAGUUGACAAUCAAUAUGAAUUAAGGAAAAAAUCAGAAGUCUGAGAUCAGAAGUGUUUGAGUGAAAUUCUCCCUACAAGUCUUGGCAACCUCAUGAUUUUGUUUAAUUUUCCAACAUGUUUUGGAUUAUUGGAAAGAGUUACAUGGGAUAAAAAGGAUUUGCCUGGCAGAGUAAAAGAACUGAAUUUGGAUUGUACUGAAGUAGGUCCUAACUAGGCUGUUGAUGGUGAAAUAUUGACGAUUCUAUUGUUUUGAAUGAAUGAGUGUCAUAUUUUACUGGGAAUUGAUUUCUGAACUUCAGUCAAGGAGUGACUGAAUUUGCAAUUAGAGUCACUCUGUUUUGUAACUCAGAUUAUGCAAGGAUCAUUCUGAAACAGCAACCAAGAUAUAAGCCCUUGUUGCAUGGCUUUUCUUUAAUUUCUAAUUUUGUGUGUCUGUGUUCAGUUUUUAAAGGACCAAAAAGUUUUUUUUCCCCCAUCUCUCUAGAAAAAAAAGGAACAUACCCUAGGAUUACAAGGGGCUUGAUUAUCUGUUUUAUAAGAAUCUUAACCCAGGAAUUGGUUAAUAUUCUUUCUCCCAUUUAGAAAAAUAGUAGGCUUUGUCGUUGAUUCCUAAUGAUUAGCACAAAAAGGGAAAGGCUUUUUAAAACCAAGAUAAAAUCACUUUAAUUCCAAAAGUGUCCAUUUAAGAAAUAUAAACUGUGAAGAUAAGCAAUGGCUAUUUUCUCUAAAGGAAAGUAUUUUCAAAUGAACAGAACAGGCAAAUGUAGACUUAAUUAGGUGGAGUCAGAUGGGUAUUAAUUAUUCACCUUUCCAGGGUGAGAAUAAUAGCAUUGUUGCUAAAGAAAUGAAAUAAGGCAUGACACUUCUUUCUUCUUCAUUCUGUGAAAGCUGCUCUGAUCUGAACAGGUUAAAGAUGGGAUAACAGGAGGACAGACUGAAAAUUUGCUCUUCCCUUCACAAUUGAGGGUAGAUAGUCUUUCGAGAGUGUAGUAUCCUCCAUUGAAAUAAAAUGUUAUUGACUACCUGCUUGGAGACAUAAAAACCUUCUCAUGUUUGGAAUGUACAUGUACUUCUCUGUUUUGCUCUCUUGAACAUUUUCAAAAUAGCUAAAUAAAAUUUGUCCUCAUUCUUAGAGUUCUGUAUAUUCUAGACUUGAAAAUAGUGGCCAACAGUGAGUAGUAAUUCACACUGAUGAUAAUCACACCAGACUAGGUUUGUUUAAUUUUGUUAUAGCCUCUAAAAAGCAUUUGUUAAGCAUCUGCUCUGUUACACAGGUAAGAUCUCAUGAUGGAUGUGGAGUCUACAAAUGAAAAAUACUUAAACGCACUGCAGUAAAAGAUCAACACUUACUCUAAUAUAAUUUGUUAGUACCGAGUGUCAAAAAGUGGGGUUUGAAAAAACCUAAGGGUAAGAUUUAGCAGGUGUGGGGUCUAGUCCUGACACUGAUGGUGACUACUUGUUGCCUACCUCAAUUCUGGUCAUAAGAGCUAUGAGUGUGAAUGUGUAUGUUAAGUAGUGUGAGGUUGUGUGACUGGAAGGGGCUGGAGGAAAUAGAGGCAGAGAAACUCAGCAACCCUGAGUUGCAGAGAAGCUUUUUUAGUGUCCCUGAGAAGUGAAAUGACUCUGUUAUUAUGUCUGCAUGCUAAUUAUACCUCUACUCUACAUACUUUUAACUUUAGGUAACCUCAUGUUAACUGCCUUUUUAAGCUGAGGAAACCAAUACCCAUGGAGAUAAAAUGACUUGACCCAAAUCGGACAGCUUGUCAAUAGCAAAGCUGGAACCAGACUGUAAAGCUUCUGCUUUCUUGUGUAAGAUACAUUUUUCCCCUAGAUGACUUCUUAAACCAAGGGGCUCUGAAAAUAAACAAUCUUUUCAAAGUAGCACUGUAUCCCUGUAGGUUGUUGCAAAUAGUUCUUCAAAACUUGAAAUAAUUAUAUCAUCUUAAAAAGUCCCUUAUAAAUUCCAAUUCAGUAUAAAAAUAUGAUUUAGGUAUAUGUUAAUUAA